rnacentral:rRNA from 1 species
GCCUACGGGGCGCAGCAGUAGGGAAUCUUCUACAAUGGGCGAAAGCCUGAUGGAGCAACGCCGCGUGGGUGAAGAAGGUCUUCGGAUCGUAAAACCCUGUUGUUAGAGAAGAAAGUGCGUGAGAGUAACUGUUCACGUUUCGACGGUAUCUAACCAGAAAGCCACGGCUAACUACGUGCCAGCAGCCGCGGUAAUACGUAGGUGGCAAACGUUAUCCGGAUUUAUUGGGCGUAAAGGGAACGCAGGCGGUCUUUUAAGUCUGAUGUGAAAGCCUUCGGCUUAACCGGAGUAGUGCAUUGGAAACU